CUCAUUUCUCUUGCAGUGCCCCCAACAAAUCUUUGUAAGGUAGCUCCCAUUGCAUGCAGAGUGUGUCUGCCUCCCAUAUAGAAUAACCAGGAGGGAUCCUGUGUUUCAGGACCACAAAAGGAUGUUUUUCUCUGCCCUAGACAAAUCAGUCACUCAGCCUGAAUCACUUCUGAAGGUCCAGACAUAUGGUCUGUCAUUGGAGAUUGCUGUGUGUCAGCUGGACAGAGGAAUGGAUUCUGUGUGUGAGCACUUCACAGGUUCCUGGCUGCCACUUGAAUCUUUAUGAAGAAGAUGAAAACUACAGUCUCCAUUGACAUACAGUUGUGCUCCAUUGGAUGUCUUUUUACUGCAUCAGGACCAAUGGCCAUAACUGCACUUACAUUAAUUUUGCUACAAAAGAUCUUUCUGAAAUCAAUUUACCAUGUAAAUCUUCAGUGAGUGUGGUAACUGUACCUGCAAAUAAAGAGUUUGAGUUCAUAAAGCUA